rnacentral:misc_RNA from 1 species
UCCGAGUUGACCCCGGCAGUCUCUCACGAGUCCCCGCCAUAACGCGCUGGCAACAUCGGACGAGGGUUGCGCUCGUUGCGGGACUUAACCCAACAUCUCACGACACGAGCUGACGACAGCCAUGCACCACCUGUCGCCGGCCCCGAAGGACCCCGCAUCUCUGCGAGAUUUCCGGCGAUGUCAAACCCAGGUAAGGUUCUUCGCGUUGCAUCGAAUUAAUCCGCAUGCUCCGCCGCUUGUGCGGGCCCCCGUCAAUUCCUUUGAGUUUCAACCUUGCGGUCGUACUUCCCAGGUGGGAUACUUAAUGCUUUCGCUCAGACACACAUAGUCAUAUCACGUAUGUCGAGUAUCCAUCGUUUAGGGCGUGGACUAC